rnacentral:rRNA from 1 species
CAGCAGCCGCGGUAAUACGUAGGUGGCAAGCGUUGUCCGGAAUUAUUGGGCGUAAAGGGCUCGCAGGCGGUUUCUUAAGUCUGAUGUGAAAGCCCCCGGCUCAACCGGGGAGGGUCAUUGGAAACUGGGAAACUUGAGUGCAGAAGAGGAGAGUGGAAUUCCACGUGUAGCGGUGAAAUGCGUAGAGAUGUGGAGGAACACCAGUGGCGAAGGCGACUCUCUGGUCUGUAACUGACGCUGAGGAGCGAAAGCGUGGGGAGCGAACAGGAUUAGAGACCCCCGUAGUCCCUGUCUCUUAUAA